rfam:Triticum aestivum genome assembly, contig: Triticum_aestivum_CS42_TGACv1_scaffold_471145_6AL
GUAGUACUCCCUUCGUCCGAAAAUACUUGUCAUCAAAAUAGAUAAAAAGGGAUGUAUCUAGAACUAAUAUACAUCUAAAUACAUCCCCUUUUAUUCAUUUUAGUGACAAGUAUUUCCGGACGGAGGGAGUACAUA